rnacentral:rRNA from 1 species
AUUGAACGCUGGCGGCAGGCCUAACACAUGCAAGUCGAACGGUAACAGGAAGAAGCUUGCUUCUUUGCUGACGAGUGGCGGACGGGUGAGUAAUGUCUGGGAAACUGCCUGAUGGAGGGGGAUAACUACUGGAAACGGUAGCUAAUACCGCAUAACGUCGCAAGACCAAAGAGGGGGACCUUCGGGCCUCUUGCCAUCGGAUGUGCCCAGAUGGGAUUAGCUAGUAGGUGGGGUAACGGCUCACCUAGGCGACGAUCCCUAGCUGGUCUGAGAGGAUGACCAGCCACACUGGAACUGAGACACGGUCCAGACUCCUACGGGAGGCAGCAGUGGGGAAUAUUGCACAAUGGGCGCAAGCCUGAUGCAGCCAUGCCGCGUGUAUGAAGAAGGCCUGG